rnacentral:rRNA from 1 species
AUUGAACGCUGGCGGCAGGCUUAACACAUGCAAGUCGAACGGUAACAGGAGAAAGCUUGCUUUCUUGCUGACGAGUGGCGGACGGGUGAGUAAUGCUUGGGAAUCUGGCUUAUGGAGGGGGAUAACGACGGGAAACUGUCGCUAAUACCGCGUAGUGUCGAGAGAUGAAAGUGCGGGACCUUCGGGCCGCAUGCCAUAGGAUGAGCCCAAGUGGGAUUAGGUAGUUGGUGGGGUAAAGGCCUACCAAGCCGACGAUCUCUAGCUGGUCUGAGAGGAUGACCAGCCACACCGGGACUGAGACACGGCCCGGACUCCUACGGGAGGCAGCAGUGGGGAAUAUUGCGCAAUGGGGGCAACCCUGACGCAGCCAUGCCGCGUGAAUGAAGAAGGCCUUCGGGUUGUAAAGUUCUUUCGGUAUUGAGGAAGGUUGUUGUGUUAAUAGCACGACAAAUUGACGUUAAAUACAGAAGAAGCACCGGCUAACUCCGUGCCAGCAGCCGCGGUANNACNGAGGGNGCGAGCGUUAAUCGGAAUAACUGGGCGU